UCUAUGAUUUUGUUACAGGGCUAGGGUUCUCUCAUGGAAUCUGGUGUUGAAGUAUUGUUUCUUUAGGGCUGAGUGUGAACCAGUGCUAAAGCCCUUGCUUUGGACAUAAAAGGAGACUGACACCAGGAUGGCUUUAGUGGAUUCCCUUUGCCUUCUGGUGCUGGUUGGCUUCGACCAAUGAGAGAGCAAGCCUGAGGAACCGAGGUGGAAGAACACGAAAAGACGGUGCUUAGUUUUCCAGGUUCCUCUGGGGAGGGACAACCUAGUGGAGCAGGUUGCUCUUCAGUAGUCCACAUGUUAUACCAGCUGCCAUCACCCUAAAGCUCCACAGGACAUGGAUCCAUUUCCAAGCACCCAUGUGAUGUUUUACAACUGUCUAAACGCUAGUUCCAGAAGAUUCAAAGCUUCCUCUGGCCUCCAUGGGUAUGACAUGAAAAUGGUGCAUAAACAUACAUAUAGGCAAAAGUACCUGUAAACAUAAAAUAAAGAUGAAUAAGCCUUUAAAAUAUUUUAAGAUGUGAAGUUGUAUACUUUGGCCAGAAAAGAAACAUGUUUGAAGUUGCAAAAAAGAAGAAGAAGAAGAAGUCACAAUUGUUAAAGAAACCAGCACCUUGAAAAACAAAAAGAGCGCCCGACGGUGGUGGCACACGCCUUUAA